UACAGAGGGGGCGAGCGUUGUUCGGAAUUACUGGGCGUAAAGGGCGCGUAGGCGGCCCGCUAAGUCGAACGUGAAAUCCCCAGGCUCAACCUGGGAACUGCGUCCGAUACUGGCAGGCUUGAAUCCGGGAGAGGGAUGUGGAAUUCCAGGUGUAGCGGUGAAAUGCGUAGAUAUCUGGAGGAACACCGGUGGCGAAGGCGGCAUCCUGGACCGGUAUUGACGCUGAGGAGCGAAAGCCAGGGGAGCAAAGCGGG
rnacentral:rRNA from 1 species